CAACAAAGUGUUGGACUCCUUUUGGGACCAUAGUCUGCUGUGAUAGCGAGGGUAGAGACAGGAAACAUAAUUCAUGAAUUAGCAGCAAGCCAAACACAAGAAUGGCCCAGGCAGAAAAAACCCAAUGAAGCCACCAAAUUAUCCCAGCAACCAACUCUACCUUCUUCUGCAAUAAACUAUGUCCCCAAAUAACUUCAAAAUAACAGGAGAAAGAAUUCAGAAAUGGAGAAGUGCAUCAGUUUGUUUUUAGAAGAUACGAUCCCUUUUCUGUACCGCAUCAAAUUAUCAAGGCUCCCGGUUAAUGCAUCAAUAUGAAAAACAUUAAGAAUUCAGCAGAAGCUACGCAGCAACAUGAUAACAUAAGUUCCUAAACUUGCAUUCUACUCUGAAAGGAGUCUUGCAUGUGUAAAUAAACAACCAUCUGAUCAUCCCUAUAAUUAACCAACCAAAGAAGAAAAACCCACAGAAAAUAAAAUGACAACCACCAGCCAAAACAAUCAUUAUUACAAGGAAUGUCCCACAGGUAAACCACAUACAUGUAGAAGGAAUUGAAAUAACCAGGAGUUGAAUAACAAAAAAAACCACAUAACCAAUGACACCACGAACUUUUUUCAUCAGUAAACAGUAUCUUUCCACGAUGUCGGGUCAGCUUCUGCAGGUA
rnacentral:lncRNA from 1 species